rnacentral:rRNA from 1 species
GAGUUUGAUCCUGGCUCAGGACGAACGCUGGCGGCGUGCUUAACACAUGCAAGUCGAACGGAAAGGCCCUGCUUUUGUGGGGUGCUCGAGUGGCGAACGGGUGAGUAACACGUGAGUAACCUGCCCUUGACUUUGGGAUAACUUCAGGAAACUGGGGCUAAUACCGGAUAGGAGCUCCUGCUGCAUGGUGGGGGUUGGAAAGUUUCGGCGGUUGGGGAUGGACUCGCGGCUUAUCAGCUUGUUGGUGGGGUAGUGGCUUACCAAGGCUUUGACGGGUAGCCGGCCUGAGAGGGUGACCGGCCACAUUGGGACUGAGAUACGGCCCAGACUCCUACGGGAGGCAGCAGUGGGGAAUAUUGCACAAUGGGCGGAAGCCUGACGCAGCAACGCCGCGUGAGGGACGACGGCCUUCGGGUUGUAAACCUCUUUCGCCUGUGAAGAAGCGUGAGUGACGGUAAUGGGUAAAGAAGCACCGGCUAACUACGUGCCAGCCGCCGCGGUAAUAC